AUGGCCGCCGCACGCGACCUUGCCGGCAACCAGCCCGGAUCCACCCGCGUCUGCAUCGGAGAAGACGUCGCCUGGUCGGACGUCACAGGCGUCUACGACCGCGACGACUCCCUCAAGGAGAACACCAACCCAAAAUGCUUCAAUGUCAAGAACUACCCCGGCCACAAGGCCGGCAACGGCGCGGCGCAGCGGUUCUCGGGCAACCUGAAGCCUACGGCGGCGCCCAUCAUCGGGAUCUCCGGAAACCUCGGCCAGGGGUGUGCCCGGCGGCACCGCCCACCUGCGAUGUUCCCAAAGAACGCCAAGACCGGCGGCGGCGGGCGCCCCGAAGCCGGCGUGCCAGAGCCGGGAUCGCCCAAGGUAUCCUGCAUGGGGAAGGUCCUAUCGGGACGAGAGCGCGACCGCCGCCGGGAGCUGAUCUCCCGGGAGAAGAUGAAGGGCGGCUGCUGCCCCUGGUUCGGUUUCCCGAUCCGUCCCAGCCGCUCGAGGAAGAGCGCCGUGGAGAGCGUCGACUGGUCUCCGCCUCCCAGGCUGCCUCUGGCCUAUGUGGAGCGUAAGAUGGAGGCGAAGGAGGUCAGCACGGAUCAGGCAGCGCCGCCCGCGCCGGCGCCGGCGCUGGCAGGGAUGAGGCGGUUCGCGUCUGGUAGGCGCGUGGCGGAUUGGGCGGCCGGGACGGAAGAGGAUGGACGCUUGGCGAGAUCUGGGCCGUUGUAG
rnacentral:rRNA from 1 species